rnacentral:rRNA from 1 species
UACGUAGGGGGCAAGCGUUGUCCGGAAUCAUUGGGCGUAAAGCGCGCGUAGGCGGCCCGGUAAGUCCGCUGUAAAAGUCCAGGGCUCAACCCUGGAAAGCCGGUGGAUACUGUCGGGCUAGAGUCCGGAAGAGGCGAGUGGAAUUCCUGGUGUAGCGGUGAAAUGCGCAGAUAUCAGGAGGAACACCGGUGGCGAAGGCGGCAUCCUGGACCAACACUGACACUGAGGAGCGAAAGCCAGGGGAGCAAACGGG